rnacentral:rRNA from 1 species
UACGGAGGAUCCGAGCGUUAUCCGGAAUCAUUGGGUUUAAAGGGUCCGUAGGCGGUCCAGCAAGUCCGUGGUGAAAUCUCCCCGCUCAACGGGGAAAUGGCCAUUGAUACUACUAGACUUGAAUUAUUAGGAAGUAACUAGAAUAUGUAGUGUAGCGGUGAAAUGCUUAGAUAUUACAUGGAAUACCAAUUGCGAAGGCAGGUUACUGCUAAUGGAUUGACGCUGAUGGACGAAAGCGUGGGGAGCGAACAGG